rnacentral:rRNA from 1 species
GAUGAACGCUGGCGGCGUGCCUAAUACAUGCAAGUCGAGCGAACAGACGAGGAGCUUGCUCCUCCGACGUUAGCGGCGGACGGGUGAGUAACACGUGGAUAACCUACCUAUAAGACUGGGAUAACUUCGGGAAACCGGAGCUAAUACCGGAUAAUAUAUUGAACCGCAUGGUUCAAUAGUGAAAGACGGUUUUGCUGUCACUUAUAGAUGGAUCCGCGCCGCAUUAGCUAGUUGGUAAGGUAACGGCUUACCAAGGCGACGAUGCGUAGCCGACCUGAGAGGGUGAUCGGCCACACUGGAACUGAGACACGGUCCAGACUCCUACGGGAGGCAGCAGUAGGGAAUCUUCGGCAAUGGGCGAAAGCCUGACGGAGCAACGCCGCGUGAGUGAUGAAGGUCUUCGGAUCGUAAAACUCUGUUAUUAGGGAAGAACAAAUGUGUAAGUAACUAUGCACGUCUUGACGGUACCUAAUCAGAAAGCCACGGCUAACUACGUG